rnacentral:rRNA from 1 species
AGCUUUCAACAACGGAUCUCUUGGUUCUGGCAUCGAUGAAGAACGCAGCAAAAUGCGAUAAGUAAUGUGAAUUGCAGAAUUCAGUGAAUCAUCGAAUCUUUGAACGCACAUUGCGCCCGCCAGUAUUCUGGCGGGCAUGCCUGUUCGAGCGUCAUUU